rnacentral:lncRNA from 1 species
GGGGGGGCGCAACUAACCGAUCCAGGGGCGCGAUGCCGCCUCCGCGAGCCUCGGACGGCGACCGUGCGGGGUGGCCACGGCGCAGCGAGGGGACACACGGGACCCCUCCGCCUGCCCGCCCGACCCGACCCGAGCGACGGACGAAUCGAAAGCUACGGCGGUGAUGGCCACGGCCCGAGGACGAACGGGACGACGUGCCACGCCACCGCUAAUUAAUCCCUCGUUGCAAACGGCGGAUUGUUUGGAAGGGUAUACCAGUACAACCGACGAACAGGGUGCGAGAUCAAAAACACCUUUCCGCUGGAAGUAAUCUUUGUAGGCGCCCAGACAGUGUUUUACACAGUACUAGUCCGUUUUUUUUUCUUUACUGACUGGUAAGUGUCUUGAGAUCUGCAAUCAUGCCAAAAUCUGUUGGAAAGGAGAGAGCAAGUAAUAAAAGACAAAAGACCAGUAACACCUGAAGUGCUCUCCGCACAAAUAGCGGCAUCAAAAAAGAAGUAUGGGGAUGUCAUGAUUGCAGGGGGGCUUAAAAGGCGGAAUGGCUGUCACACGUUGUUGGUAGGUAAAUUAGACAUCAGAUAUGUACAAAUCUCUAUAAAAAUUAAUGUCUCUUGGCGAAUAUCUAGCUCCACAAAAUUAUACGCAGAGGAUAAUCAAAGCGGAGAAAAAAAAAACAGGAGUCGUCAUUUUCAAAGCAAUUAGGGCAUCCAAAAUGUUAGCAAAAAACGGUUAUUAUAACUAUAUAUAUGGAAAUAAAAUAAGAUAAGAU